UAUAAGAAAAAACAUAGCAUAUACAGGAUUUGGUAGUUAGGCAUCAACUGGGGAGUCUUGAAUGUAUUCCCCACAGAUAAGGGGAGUAGUGUGUGUGCGUUAACAGUAAAGACUUAUUCAAGCUUUCUCAAGCCAUGGCAACUUGUUCAGGCUGCAUGAGUCAACAAGAGAGAAAAAGAACCCCACAGAAAUUCUAGAACAGGAAUUCAGAGCAAAACUAAGGAUGGGAUCCAUCUCUAAAACUAGGUCAUUCUGGUAAUCCCUUGGCUGUAGCUUUUGGAGACUCUUAAAGGUGAUAUUUCACCUUUAACACCAUUCAGCUCUUCUCUUGAUGUCUACUUUCCUCUGGGGCAUUUAAUUCCCCUACUUCUCUCACAACUAAAUUUUCUUCAUAUUUCUCAGUCCCAGUUGCCAAAAUCAGAAAGAAUCUUACUUUCUUAGUCACCAGUUGUCAUCCUUUGCUCAGGCAGCUUAGCUGCCCUUGCACCAGGAAGGAAGGAGGAAGACUACAAGGAAAUGUGGAAUAGGACAUGGGGUCUCAAAGGAAUAGCCCAGCCACUUUUCUUGGCUGAAAGUAUAGCCAGGGCAGUUUCCAGUUGUGAGUGUGUGAUAAAGAUAUUCCAGAAUUUCCUGACUCGUACUUGAAAGAGACAAAUACAACUUGAGAGUUGAGGACUAACUAACCAUCUCUGUGCCAGUUAUCCUAGUGAUUUCCAAAAUACCUCCUAAAUCAGCAUCUCUUGGGAGAGCUUGCUAAUUGAAGUUGAAGCAUUCCACGUCCUCCAGAAAACACUCAAACUAAUGAGGUAACAAAGGCCCAGAGGACAAAAAUUAAGCAAAUCAAAGUUUAUUCUUGAAAUGAAACUCUUGAAAUCUCAACUUGAGAAAAUAAGCAAGAAAAGUCAAAAGCUUAAAAAAGAAAAAAUUGCCAAAUAAAAGAACAUCACAUAUUUUUGGACCUUACAAGAACUAGCUAAAUUGAGGAUGUAAAACAGUACCUAUAGACAACAACAAGAAAGGGAAAAGAAAAAACAACAGCAGCAGCAAAAACAACAACAACAACAACAACAAAAACCUAGUACCUAUAGUAUAUUCCCAGGUUGCUUGCUUUUGAAUUUUAUAAAAAAAUACAUAAUGUUUGCUAUUUGAUUCAAGGUUAUAAGCUUUUAUAAUUUUUUUCUUCAGUACUAGGGAUUGAAGCCAGGGCCUUGGGCAUGCUAAGUAAGUGCUCUACCACCGAGCAAUCACUCUACCUCCAACCCUGGAAUUCUUUCUAUUGCAGAGUACUUUUACUAAGGAUUAUAAAUAAACUUUUAAACUGUGA